rnacentral:tRNA from 1 species
UCAUAGGUGCCAGAUUUAUAAUGGGUUGGUUUUAAGCAUCAAUAAUGGGUUGUUACCCCCUGUGAU